AUACUAUUACAACACACAGACAGCACUAACUAUUGAAAAAGCGUUCUUAGAUGAUCUGUGACCCACAGCUUGAGAACUCCUGAUCUAGAAGGUUGAGACCAAGAUAAUAUUAAUCAUAAACAUAGAGGUUUGUAGGACAAAAAGAAAGAAGGAACAUGGGUGUCUGACCACAAUGAAGAUUGUUCCAGACUCCUCAUUCUGGGCUUCUUGUUAACCAAGAAAAACAAGCAGCUAAAUGAAUCAGCAGACAAACAAUGCUCUCUCUCCCAAGACAAUUUACCUGAAAUGACAGCAGGGUAAGUAGCUCUUGUCACAUUUAAGGGACUUGUCAUUCAUAGGCAUACACACAGGUAAACACCAUAAUAAAGUAAAAACAAAUCUGAGAGACAGACAGACAGACUGGUCAUGAUAUGAUCAAAUCUUAAAGUAUUUUCCUAAUCAGAACUCACAAGUACAAAAGAAAGGUAGAGAAACACUCAGAGCAGGACAGGAACAGAAGUAAGGCCCAAUGAGAUGUAUCAGCAAGGGUACAGAGUGGGAGCCUUAGGAGACACAGUUGGGCAGGGAUGCUAAAAUCUUUCACACCUGGGGGAAAAUCACAGAGCUCUCAUGCUCUGCAUGAUUUGUAGACUCACAAUUUGUUCUUUUUGAUCCAUCUGAAGUGGACAAAGGCCAGAUGAAAUGUUUUCGGAAAAUAAAACAGCCACAGGUCACAGUGCUUUCAAUGCAAACAACAGGGUACAGCUGCUACCUAGCAGUGACCGGUUAUAAACUCAUUCUGCCCUCAGUUUACUACUGGCAAUCUCAAGUACAGAGGUCAGCGAAAACUUACACUAUGCCUUUUACAACUGUGUAAAAAUGAAAUGGAUGGUACAGAAACAAAACAACAAACAAAAACCAGUCAGGUAUGGUAGCUCACACCUACAAUCCCAGUACUCAGCUGAGGCAGGAGGAUUGAGUUUGAGUAAGAUCCUGUCUCAGAACGGCUUAAAAAUCCCCAAUAAAAACCCAGACACAAAGAUGUUUUUUCCUUUUGCCCCCCACCCGAGUCAGCAGUUCUAUUACAUUUUAAAAGCACAUUUUCCUUAACACUUUAAAUUAUACUUGUUUCUUAAUGAAAACCUACACAACCACAGGUUAAAAAACAACUCACAGUCUUAGUUCACAACUCACAAACUUAUAACUAAUUCAACCACAGCACACUGUUGAAUUUCCAGACCCAUUUUCCAACCUGGGUAUUACAUUGAGGCACUGUCAUUUUCUCCUAAGUCUUUGGGAGUCUGUAUCCACAGCUUGCUUACUUGUGAGAAGAAGCAAUGAGGUCUAUCUACACAUUAGGGACAGGGAAGACUAGGAAGCUGCUCUUCCUUUAUCUUUGCAGGUCUCUGUUGAAUCUGCAUUUCCUAGCUCAAGAUUUAUUCCUGGGGGUAAAAAGUCAGUGGAUCUUCCCAUUGCAUUUUUUACAUGACUUACUUCAUCACUUUUGUUUUUCUGGGUCCUAGCAGUGUCUCCAGCUCAAUAAACAUGCCGGCUAAGUCAGUGGAGUGCCGGCCGAGAAUAGGAAGGAGUAAUACAUUUUUACAAUAGGAAGAGUACUUUUGGGGCAGCAUAAAGCGAAUGAAAAAGAGGAAAGGAAACCUGACAAACUUUAUUUGGAACUAUAGUAUGGGAACUUCCUGUCCCACUGGUAUCAUGUAUGCUCAUUCCUACUCUACACAGUCAUUCUGUUUGCUUUCUGUACCAUGCUUCCUUAACAUCUAGGCUCAAAUAACACCAUCUUAAAAGAAUUCUUUUUAGACCAUUCUACCUAAACCAGGGCGCCCAACUUACAUCAUAUUUAUCCCCUCAUCCUAAUUUUCUUUAUAAUACAUGUUACCAUAUGUGAUAAUCUUAUAUUUCCUUAUUUAACAUUUCCCAUCUCUCAGAAUGAACCCUGUAUGAGAAGGGCAACUAGUUUAGUUCGUUGGCAUCUCUAGCUCUUCAGCUAAUGUUUGGUAUAUGCUACAGUUCGACAUCUAUUCACUGACCAUUUACAUAACAGCAUUGGGAGGAACCAGUCCCCCUCCUUCCCUGGAGUAGUGUGGAGGGCUCCAGAAGUUCUACUGAUGGUGACAAAGGGGGCUAUCUUCGAAGUAUGGAUUUCCUUUUCUUCCUCCAAACUCCCACAGACACACACCAGCUGCAUUAGUCAAUGCUGUGCCCCUAGCCAGAACAUCUGCUUCUAUGGUUUCUCAACUAUGCCUUCAGGGAAAUUAAGACAUGGGAAGGUCCUUGAACUGUGCUGUCCACCACUGCUAACCUGAACUCUCUUCAAACUGGGGAAGGUUGUUGAGGAGCAGCAACAAGGAAGGUGAUUGUAGUAUCUGUGAAGAGUGUGAUACCGUACUGUUACUCCUAAGAGGUUCUUCUCCACCUCUGCUGAGACUUGCUUCCAAAGAAGAAACCAAGUUUUCAUUUCUCUGCUUCCUUCUUAUGCUGUUGUUCCCAUUGGCAUUUCUUAAGCUUUUGUGUUACAGGGAACCUAGACAACGCUUGCUGCUGCUGUUGCUGAAGUACUGGAGGCCGGUGCCUGUCUCUGAACACAGAAUUAGUCUCUGCCACUAGCAGGCUUACCAGGGCACCUUCCACUCUACUGAUGGCUGCCAACUGACUUGAGUGGGCAAGUUUAGCCAAGACAUGCGGAUGUGCACAUGCAGGAGUUACUGAGCCUAAUUCUGACUAUAUGUCUAGCUAGUAUCUAAGUGCCUUCAAACUUUUUGGAACUAAUGUUUUGAUCCUCUAUUGUUCACUUAUAUCUAUUUUUGAACUGAUUCCAAUCAGGGAAUGGGAGCAGGAUAUGAUUUACUGGGCAAAUCAGACCAACCUGAUAAAGGAAAUAACAGAUGAUAUUCAAUAACAAUGUCUUAUGAAAAUCUAAAUGAAAAACUAUCCCUAGCCAGGCACAGUGGCACAGGACUUAAAAGGCAGAGCAGGAAGAUCUGAGUUCCAUGCCAGCCUAGGCUAUGUAGUGAGACUUGCCUCACAAACCAAAACCAAAACUAAAAACCACACCAACCAAAUCACCUCUCCCUUUCUGGAAAACAAUCAGAGGGCGGCAGAAUGGACUCACAGUAACAAUGAAAAGCAUAAAAGGAAACAGGACUAUUUUCUGAUGCUCAACUGAUUUUCUAGAGAGUGGAGCUCUGUUCUCUAAUCACAGAAGCUAAUGUGUCCAGAGACUUGCCUUGAAAAUAUGCUUAGUACUAGAGAAAAUUAUGAGAAAUGGGUCCUAGCAGGAGAGGAUUACAUUGGGGAGGAGAUGUCCUUGAAGGGGAUAUUGGGACCAGCUAUUGAUUCUCUGCUUCCUAGCUACUAUGAGUUGAACAGGCUGCUCCAC